rnacentral:tRNA from 1 species
GCCUUCGUGGUGUAGUGGUCAGCACAGAUGACACGUAACCGAGAGGUCCGUGGUUCGAUUCCCGGCGAAGGCG